GACGAACGCUGGCGGCGUGCUUAACACAUGCAAGUCGAACGGAAAGGCUCCAGCUUGCUGGAGUUCUCGAGUGGCGAACGGGUGAGUAACACGUGGGUAAUCUGCCCUGCACUCUGGGAUAAGCCUGGGAAACUGGGUCUAAUACUGGAUAUGACCUUUCUCCUUAUGGGGUUUGGUGGAAAGUUUUUCGGUGUAGGAUGAGCCCGCGGCCUAUCAGCUUGUUGGUGGGGUGAUGGCCUACCAAGGCGACGACGGGUAGCCGGCCUGAGAGGGUGAUCGGCCACAUUGGGACUGAGAUACGGCCCAGACUCCUACGGGAGGCAGCAGUGGGGAAUAUUGCACAAUGGGCGGAAGCCUGAUGCAGCGACGCCGCGUGAGGGAUGACGGCCUUCGGGUUGUAAACCUCUUUCAGCAGGGACGAAGCGUAAGUGACGGUACCUGCAGAAGAAGCACCGGCUAACUAUGUG
rnacentral:rRNA from 1 species